UACGUAGGGUGCAAGCGUUGUCCGGAAUUAUUGGGCGUAAAGAGCUCGUAGGCGGCCUGUCACGUCCGCUGUGAAAUCCCGGGGCUCAACCCCGGGCCUGCAGUGGAUACGGGCUGGCUGGAGGCAGGCAGGGGAGAACGGAAUUCCUGGUGUAGCGGUGAAAUGCGCAGAUAUCAGGAAGAACACCUAUGGCGAAGGCAGCUCUCUGGGACGGUACUGACGCUGAGACGCGAAAGCGUGGGAGCGAACAGG
rnacentral:rRNA from 1 species